rnacentral:rRNA from 1 species
CCANGUGUAGCGGUGAAAUGCGUAGAUAUAUGGAGGAACACCAGUGGCGAAAGCGGCUCUNUGGUCUGUCACUGACGCUGAGGCUCGAAAGCGUGGGUAGCGAACAGGAUUAGAUACCCUGGUAGUNCACGCCGUAAACGAUGAGUGCUAGGUGUUAGGCCCUUUCCGGGGCUUAGUGCCGGAGCUAACGCAAUAAGCACUCCGCCUGGGGAGUACGACCGCAAGGUUGAAACUCAAAGGAAUUGACGGGGGCCCGCACAAGCGGUGGAGCAUGUGGUUUAAUUCGAAGCAACGCGAAGAACCUUACCAGGUCUUGACAUCCCGAUGCUAUUCUUAGAGAUAGGAAGUUACUUCGGUACAUCGGAGACAGGUGGUGCAUGGUUGUCGUCAGCUCGCGUCGUGAGAUGUUGGGUUAAGUCCCGCAACGAGCGCAACCCUUAUUGUUAGCUGCCAUCAUUAAGUUGGGCACUCUAGCGAGACUGCCGGUAAUAAACCGGAGGAAGGUGGGGAUGACGUCAAAUCAUCAUGCCCCUUAUGACCUGGGCUACACACGUGCUACAAUGGUCGGUACAACGAGUUGCGAGCCGGUGACGGCAAGCUAAUCUCUGAAAGCCGAUCUCAGUUCGGAUUGGAGGCUGCAACUCGCCUCCAUGAAGUCGGAAUCGCUAGUAAUCGCGGAUCAGCACGCCGCGGUGAAUACGUUCCCGGGCCUUGUACACACCGCCCGUCACACCACGAGAGUUUGUAACACCCGAAGUCGGUGAGGUAACCUUUUAGGGNCCA